AUUGAACGCUGGCGGAAUGCUUUACACAUGCAAGUCGAACGGCAGCACGGGGGCAACCCUGGUGGCGAGUGGCGAACGGGUGAGUAAUAUAUCGGAACGUGCCCAGUCGUGGGGGAUAACGUAGCGAAAGUUACGCUAAUACCGCAUACGAUCUACGGAUGAAAGCGGGGGAUCGCAAGACCUCGCGCGAUUGGAGCGGCCGAGAUCAGAUUAGGUAGUUGGUGGGGUAAAGGCUCACCAAGCCAACGAUCUGUAGCUGGUCUGAGAGGACGAACAGCCACACUGGGACUGAGACACGGCCCAGACUCCUACGGGAGGCAGCAGUGGGGAAUUUUGGACAAUGGGCGCAAGCCUGAUCCAGCCAUUCCGCGUGCAGGACGAAGGCCUUCGGGUUGUAAACUGCUUUUGUACGGAACGAAAAAGCCUUGGCUAAUACCCAGGGUCCAUGACGGUACCGUAAGAAUAAGCACCGGCUAACUACGUGCCAGCCGCCGCCGUAA
rnacentral:rRNA from 1 species